rnacentral:rRNA from 1 species
UUUUGAACCGCAUGGUUCAAAAGUGAAAGACGGUCUUGCUGUCACUUAUAGAUGGAUCCGCGCUGCAUUAGCUAGUUGGUAAGGUAACGGCUUACCAAGGCAACGAUGCAUAGCCGACCUGAGAGGGUGAUCGGCCACACUGGAACUGAGACACGGUCCAGACUCCUACGGGAGGCAGCAGUAGGGAAUCUUCCGCAAUGGGCGAAAGCCUGACGGAGCAACGCCGCGUGAGUGAUGAAGGUCUUCGGAUCGUAAAACUCUGUUAUUAGGGAAGAACAUAUGUGUAAGUAACUGUGCACAUCUUGACGGUACCUAAUCAGAAAGCCACGGCUAACUACGUGCCAGCAGCCGCGGUAAUACGUAGGUGGCAAGCGUUAUCCGGAAUUAUUGGGCGUAAAGCGCGCGUAGGCGGUUUUUUAAGUCUGAUGUGAAAGCCCACGGCUCAACCGUGGAGGGUCAUUGGAAACUGGAAAACUUGAGUGCAGAAGAGGAAAGUGGAAUUCCAUGUGUAGCGGUGAAAUGCGCAGAGAUAUGGAGGAACACCAGUGGCGAAGGCGACUUUCUGGUCUGUAACUGACGCUGAUGUGCGAAAGCGUGGGGAUCAAACAGGAUUAGAUACCCUGGUAGUCCACGCCGUAAACGAUGAGUGCUAAGUGUUAGGGGGUUUCCGCCCCUUAGUGCUGCAGCUAACGCAUUAAGCACUCCGCCUGGGGAGUACGACCGCAAGGUUGAAACUCAAAGGAAUUGACGGGGACCCGCACAAGCGGUGGAGCAUGUGGUUUAAUUCGAAGCAACGCGAAGAACCUUACCAAAUCUUGACAUCCUUUGACAACUCUAGAGAUAGAGCCUUCCCCUUCGGGGGACAAAGUGACAGGUGGUGCAUGGUUGUCGUCAGCUCGUGUCGUGAGAUGUUGGGUUAAGUCCCGCAACGAGCGCAACCCUUAAGCUUAGUUGCCAUCAUUAAGUUGGGCACUCUAAGUUGACUGCCGGUGACAAACCGGAGGAAGGUGGGGAUGACGUCAAAUCAUCAUGCCCCUUAUGAUUUGGGCUACACACGUGCUACAAUGGACAAUACAAAGGGCAGCGAAACCGCGAGGUCAAGCAAAUCCCAUAAAGUUGUUCUCAGUUCGGAUUGUAGUCUGCAACUCGACUACAUGAAGCUGGAAUCGCUAGUAAUCGUAGAUCAGCAUGCUACGGUGAAUACGUUCCCGGGUCUUGUACACACCGCCCGUCACACCACGAGAGUUUGUAACACCCGAAGCCGGUGGAGUAACCUUUUAGGAGCUAGCCGUCGAAGGUGGGACAAAUGAUUGGGGUGAAGUCGUAACAAGGUAGCCGUAUCGGAAGGUGCGGCUGGAUCACCUCCUUUCUAAGGA